AUUGAACGCUGGCGGCAUGCCUUACACAUGCAAGUCGAACGGCAGCACGGGUGCUUGCACCUGGUGGCGAGUGGCGAACGGGUGAGUAAUACAUCGGAACGUACCUUAUCGUGGGGGAUAACGCAGCGAAAGUUGCGCUAAUACCGCAUACGCCCUGAGGGGGAAAGCGGGGGACCGUAAGGCCUCGCGCGAUUAGAGCGGCCGAUGUCUGAUUAGCUUGUUGGUGAGGUAAAAGCUCACCAAGGCGAUGAUCAGUAGCUGGUCUGAGAGGACGAUCAGCCGCACUGGGACUGAGACACGGCCCAGACGCCGACGGGAGGCAGCAGUGGGGAAUUUUGGACAAGGGGGGCAACCCUGAUCCAGCAAUGCCGCGUGAGUGAAGAAGGCCUUCGGGUUGUAAAGCUCUUUUGUCAGGGAAGAAACAGCAGCUCUAACACAGUCUGCGAAUGACGGUACCUGAAGAAUAAGCACCGGCUAACUACGUG
rnacentral:rRNA from 1 species